UCGCUACUAGGCUUAUAUUUAUACUCUGUCUAAAAGAGUUACAAUCAAGUAUGACCAGGAUUCUAAUUCCAAACUAAACGGAAUCCGUAUACAAAACAAAUUCUAACAAUUAUGGAAAACAUUUAUCUAUUUUAGGCAAUCAGCACACCACCAUCAUCUACCCGAUGAUUCCACGCCUUCUUUCAUCAUCAUCGGCAUAUUAACCCCAUCGGCAUCGGCAACUGCCAGCAUCAACCAUCGGCAGAGAUCAACCACUAUCUUUGGAUUCAAUCAUAUCCUGCUGCUUUAUCAUCGGCAUCAUAAGCUAUCGACAAUUCCCUUUGUCAAUAGCCAUCACUUUUUCGCCUGCCGAUCUAGGUUCCACUAUCUGUCCGGAUACGUGUCAAAAAAUGGUGUCAACAAUCGGCAAGAUUAAUUCAUCAGAAGGUUCAUAUCUAAUCUAUGAGGCAAUAUCAAUGCUUUUAGUUCGUUGCUUAAAAUGAAGGCCGAUUAGGAAUUUGUAUGGGGAGCUGAGCAGCAGUUGGCCCUAGAUGAAAUUAAGAAAUACUUAACAAACCCUCGAGUGCUAGUUCCACCUCAACAUGGUAAACCCUUCAGGUUGUAUUUGUCGACUGAUGAUACUGUUAUCAGUUCAGCUCUUAUUCAAGAACUUGAAGGAAAAGAACAUGUUAUUUAUUAUUUGAGCAGAAGAUUGGUGGAUGCUGAGACAAGAUAUUCGGCCAUCGAGAAACUAUACUUAUGUUUAUACUUUUCUUGUAUUAAAUUGAGUCAUUAUUUGUUAUCGGCCAAAUACACUGUUGUAUGCAAGGAUGACGUGGUCAAAUAUAUGUUGUCGAUGCCAAUAUUAAAUUGCAGGAUCGGCAAGUGGAUUCUCGUUACGAAUCGGCUAAGGCAGUUAAAGGAUAGGUUAUGGCCAAUUUUGUCACUCAGCAUUGCAACAUAGUGGAUUCUCUGGAAAUUGCUCUUUGGACACUUUUCUUCGAUGGAUCUACCUGUGGUGAAGGAGCAGGUAUCGACAUUAUGUUGAUUUCACCUCAAGGAAGGAAGUAUGAGUUUUCAUUGCCAGUUGUUGCUACAUCGACAAACAAUCAAGAUGAGUAUCAAGCUUUGAUAAAAGGGUUAGAGUUAAUUAGAGAGAUACAUGCCGAUGCUGUUGAGAUUUUUGGUGACUCUAUGCUGGUUAUAAAUCAAUUGGUUGGGAUUUAUGAAUGCCGAAGUGAAGUAUUGAUCUCAUAUUAUGAGAGAUGUUUGCAAUUGUUGAAAGAGUUUAAAGAUUUUCAUCUUGAACAUAUUCCUUGAUUGCAUAAUGAAGAAGCUAAUCAGCUAGCUCAGCAUGCUUCAGGGUAUCAGCUUAUCCAGCAGGUGCUGACAUCGGCAGUUGAUGCCAAUGAUUGGAGAACGGAGAUUACCGAUUACUUAGGGAUCCAUCCAAGAAGGUUGAAAGGCAUAUAAGAUUUCAAGCCACUAAGUAUGUGCUCCUCGAUGAUGAAUUAUAUUAUCAAACUAAUUAUGGUGUUUUACUCAGAUGUCUUAGCGGUGAUGAAUCGAAAAGCUUAAUUGGUGAAAUUCAUGAAGGAGUGUGUGGGGCACAUCAAUCGGCUUUCAAGAUGAAAUGGAUGAUCAGAAGGAAUGAAUACUAUUGGCCAACUAUUCUUGAAGAUUUCUUUAAAUAUUUUAAAGGAUGUUAGGGGUGUCAAAAAUUCGGCAAAAUUCAAAGAGCGCCUGCAUCGGCUAUGAAUCCUAUAAUUAAACCUUGGCCGUUCCGAAGAUGGGCUAUCGAUAUCAUCGUUCAGAUUUAUCCACCAUCGAGCAAAGGGCAUAAAUUUAUACUUGUUGCUACCGAUUAUUUCACAAAGUGGGUUGAAGCAAUUCCUUUGAAAAAGGUGACAUCGGCCAAUAUGAUCGAUUUUGUGAAAGAGCAUAUUGUUUACCGAUUUGGUAUUCCUCAAACUAUCACUACCGAUCAUGGUACUAUGCUUACAUUGGGAGAAUUUGAUGAGUUUGCUAUCGGUAUGGGGAUUAAAGUGUUGAAUUCUUGUCCUUAUUAUGCUCAAGAUAAUGGUCAGGCCGAGGCUUCUAACAAAGGAAUCAUCAAACUCAUUAAAUGCAAAAUUGAGGAAAAUCCUAGGCGGUGGCAUAUAGUAUUAAAUGAGGCUCUGUGGUCAUAUCGGAUGGCAUGUCAUGGUACAACCAAAGUAUCGCCUUAUCCGUUGGUAUACGGGCAUAAUAUAGUACUGCCUUGGAAAAUUAAAACUGGCUCUAGACGGGUAUUUUCUCAGGAUCAACUAGCAGUCGGUGACUAUGAUACUCUUAUGAAAGAUGAGUCAAGUCAGAAGAUUUGGCAGGUCAUCGGUCGAGGGCUUUGGUUAGCAUCGAGGAAAAUAAGAAGAGGGUAGCCAGAUGGUAUGAAAAGAGGGUGAAGAUAAAAGUGUUUGCCGAUGGAGAUUUGGUUUGGUAAUUGAUUUUACCGAUUAGGACUAAAAGUUCAAAGUUUGGCAAGUGGUCUCCUAAUUGGGAGGGUCCUUAUCGGAUAAAUCGAUCUGCUCCUGGUAACACAUACAUUCUAGAAACCCUCGAAGAGGUUGUCUUUCCUAGAGCAUUGACUGAAAAAUAUUUAAAGAAAUAUUACCCUAGUAUCUGGAUGGAUGCAUAAAAGUAUAAAUGCCGAUAACAGUUCUGUCAACCAAAAUCAGACAAGAGUAUCGAUGUUUCUUAACGUAUUGAUGCAAUGCACUGCCGAUGAACAAGAUUUACAAAUUUAAUAAAGACCGGAUAGCUGAUAUCGAACGUAGGCGAAUCUGAUCGGCUUCCUCUAUCUCGUUGAUAUCUUCAUCAGCAGAACCCUCCACUGGCUUGAGCUUUUUCUUCACCGCUAGAGCUUUGUGAGCUUGCAUAUCUCUUUCUUACUGGAGGGCCUUGAUAGCAUCGGGUAACUAGCUUUCUUCCUGCUCGGCAUGAGUAAGAGCUGCCUCGACAUCCUUGAGCUCAGCUAGUAGGGCUGUUCUCUUUGCCAAUAAGUCCAAGAUUUUCUAUUAAGUUCAACGCCUGAGGUCUUCAAAUUGUCGAUGUUCUUGUGCUUCUCAUCGGUGGUCUGCUUCAAUUGUAGCAUUUCUUCUUUAAGUUGGGUCUGAGCAGCUCUGUCGGUAAUGCGUUGGACAGCCCUGUGAUAUUGGAGUUGUGGGCUUUCUAAGUGGGCAGUCGGGAAGAGUUCCUCCUUGAUGUUGGCAGGGACUUGGCCACGGACUGUUUCAAAAAUUGCUUUUGCAGGGUCUGAAUCAUGUACCAACUGAGCGUUGUCUUGCUGCAGCAGAUUUAGUAGAGCCUCCAACUUGGACUUGACUUCUAACAAUACUGUCCUGAAUGCGAGUGCAGAGCUUGUUUCCUCCCCCUCAUCGUGAGAAACGUCGAUGGGGAAGGAGAAUAAACUGUCUGGGGAGUCUUAUUCCUGAAAGAAGAAAAAGGGGUCAGUUGAAGACAAAUAUGAAUAUUAUAAAUCGGCUAAGUCAGUCGGCUGACUUGCUUCAAGGCAAUCUCUUGCCUUUGACUGGAGGAAGCAAUUUGGAGUAUGCCAUGUGAGGGAUUGGUUGUGCCUGCCGAUGAGAUGUCUUCAGCUAUAGGGUUAAUUGGUGCCGAGACUGAUGGUAAUUCCUCUAUAGUCUCAUCGGCAGUUGGUUCUUGGGGUACAACGGUCGAUGAUGCGCCUUGCACAGAUAGAUCAACUGCUUGCCCAGGUGCAUCAGCCGGUUCUGGCUGGCUCGGAGGUGCUGGUUCAGGUGUUGGGAUCGGUAUGGACUUCUACCGUUUUGACUAUGCUUUAGUACCUAUUGGAGCUUUGCGCUUUGCAACGGCGAGCUGGGGGCAUCGACACUUGUUGGUUGUAAAAGUUGGGCAUCUGGGACAUUUGCCGAUGUACUCGUUUGUUGCUGCAAGACAGGUGUACGAUAGGAUAAUGUAAAGUUGAAGGAAUACCUCUGAAGGCUUGUCGGGGAUGGUGGUGUAUGAUGCAAGAGGAAUUGCCGAUGAUGAUCCAGUUGCAGUUCUUGCGUCCUGGAAAUUAGUGUUAGUAGGGUUUGAAAUCGGCAUGGAUUGGAAUUAAUAGGGUUGUUACCUUGAACGCUUCUACCAGAGUCGCAGCGACAGCCGAUAGAGUGACCUUAGCCUUAGCUGAUUUUAGUUUGGUGAUGACUUUCUUGGCGCGGGCUCCCUAAUGAGUCAGAGUAACCAAGGUGGAAGCAUUAUAGCCAAACGGUGAUAUCAGAGAUAUGAGUCGAACGUCAAAGAUUUUCCCACUCAUGCUCGUGGUUGGUGCUGGGUCAUCGAUCUGUCAUGAGAAAAUUAGUUGCCGAUGAAAUUAAAAGUGAAUAAAAAACUAGUGUUAAAAGAAACUUACUGCAUCAUCAGGGACGAUGUGCUCAGAGUCGAUCUGAUGCCGAUACGUACGGGAAGAUGCUGCAAAUAAUUGUCCCUUCCACUCUUGCCACCAUAACUUGUAUGACUCAGUGAUGAAGGAAGUUGGCACCUAGGUGGAUAGAUCAAAAUUUGUAGUAUUGACAUCAGGGGGAGUUGCACUAUCUUGUCCGAGUCCAAUCUGUUGGUGAUUGUUUCUCUUGGCUUGAUUACAUCGGCAAAGCAGAGCUUGAUCGGUAGCUGUCCAAAGGCCAAUUGACGUGAUACUGCCGGUGGAUUGUAGAAUUCAUAGGUAAUGCUGGUGUUCUUCCCACUGCUAAAUAUAUUUACUGGGAUUGCCUGGGAGUGAUGAUGGCCAUCAUAAGUUCAUCAUCCUUGUUCAAAGCCUCAUCAACAAGUUUGAAAAGGAGAGAAUGAAUCUGGCUUCUUCAUCGAUGUAGGGCAUCCAUGCCCGAUGAUCACGGGAGAUGCCAUUGUAAAAGCUUUCGAAGAAUCGGCUGAUCUGGUCUUUGUUGGCCUCUGUCCCAGGGAGUACUAUUAUGGCCUCACCAAAGUUAAGGGGUGGGCGUGUUGCCGAUUCUUCAUUCUCAAGUUCAUGGUCUUCCGUGAUAUCUCGUGGGAAUUGUUGAGCAAAGAAAUCCCAUUGCAAGCGUUUGUGCAUGUGGGCACUCAACCACAUGUUAACAAACCACCACAGAUCUCCUAAGUUGCCGAUGGGUUCACCAAGUAGAAGCCUCUAAGACACUUGAUGUAAUAGGUGAUAAGUGGAGCUCAGAAGAUAUCGACCAAGAGGGAGCCUUACAACGUUGGCUAGCAGCUCAGCUGCGGGGAGGUAAACAUUGGUUGGCCCUACCGAUCUGCCACAGAAAAUGAUUUUUUGUAACCACGUGUUUAAGAAUGUGGCGUGUUCCCUCUGACCAACUGCCCCAGUCUUCCUGUAUUCUUGGAUAUACACUAUCCAACCACCGAUGUUAUGGGUAUUCACUUUGUGCUUAGGCUUCCUAUUAAAAACGAUGACAUCAUCGGUAGUUGAAAUAUCUAAGCCGGUAAGUAUACAUACAUCGGCAAGAGUGGGGCUAGUUGGGCCGUGUCCAAACAUGAAAGCAUUUAUUGUAUCUGACCAGAAAUAAGUGGCAGCAAUCAUCAUCGACUCAUUCUUUUGCAUAUCGGCAAUCGACAGUAUGAUGCAUUGGUCUAAUUUCCGCUCUGCCCAAUACACUUGCAUCGACCCGAUUACUCUCAGGUACCAAUCUUUCCACACCUUGGUGGUUUUUGGCCAAGAUCGAUAGGUAUCCUUCCACAAAUCUAAAGAAAAGUUCUGGGCUCUAAAGGGAAUUCUAUUGAUCUCUGCGUUGAUCAAAUCGGUUGGAUCUAAGUCACCCAUUGGACCUAAACAUUGGAUGUGCGGCUGAUCGGUUGGAAUGACUAACUUGUUGCAUAGUUCCUAAAUUUGGAAGAUCAAAAGGACAGAGGAAAAGAAAAAGAAAAUCACUAACUAUAUGAACUUGCAAGGGCAAAAGGAAUUGCAGUAAAAGGGGAUGAAGGCGAAGCAAACCGCAGGGACGUCGAAGUUGAUCGCCAUUUUCUUGAAGAGGACGCAAACGUAGCUAAAGACUCAAGGCUGCUUAUGGGGAAGAUUCUUGCUGAUUGUGGUCGCACGGUUGCUUGUCGGGGUCGCCGCCGGAGAGAGGAGAUGUUGAAGGUUGGAGUCUGAGGGUAGAAGACGAGCGUUUGGGAGAGAUGUAUUUCUAGGCCGAUUGGGGUAGGGGCAUUCUGGACUUAUCUCUCUAGCGUGCGCGUGUAGGUCGAGGUUAUUCAGAUGCAUAUGGUAACUGUUCGCACGAUAAUCAAGGGAUUGUGUAGUUGGUUUGGUGGCAAGCAAUCAUGAUUCAGAAUAAAUCUUGGUGUACAGGAUAUUUUGAUUCCCAGAUCGGCAACAUGACAUUGUGUUAGGUUCUUGCCGAUGGACUGUUGCUUUUAUGUCUUGACCAUAAUCGGAACAAGGGUGAUUGAAGAUUCGUGCAAUAUUUACUGAGGUGCGUGAAUAAAGGCUAGAUUCGGUUGGAUUUGGCAACAUAUUAUACCAUGCUUGGAGGAUGAGCUAGAUAAUUAGGUGAAGGCAAUCAUUAUCUGGAGUAAAUUUCAGAGCAUUAAUAAUUUUAUACUCCGUAAUUGGGGGCAUGUGUUGACAUUGUUUUUUGCACAUGUCAAAAAUGAUCAGACUGGGCUGAUCGGCAGAAGGAAAGUUAUUGUAUUACGUUGGUAAAAGGGUGCCGAUGAAGAUCAGCUUGUGAGGAUUGUUGCCGAUGAGUGGUGGUGACCAAUGGAAAGGUUGUCGUUUGACUUAGACUCGGAAGCGUUGCUGGCAAGAUCGGGGCUGUCACUGCCGAUGUCGAUGAAGGAAGAUCUGAAGACUACUGCCGAUGAAGCGUCAUUGCCGAUGUCGAUGAAGGAAGAUCUGAAGACUACUGCUGAUAAAGUUUAUGAUAAUGGAAAGCAUGCGGAGGGAGCAGAAGUCGAUGAAGGUUUCAUUGUAAUUAAGGCGGACAAGGAAGUAGAUAGGUGUCGUUUUCCUUUUCUGUAUUUGUUAGAGUAUGACUCUGUAAGAGUCAUGCUUUUCCUUAGGUAUGGACUCAAUGUUCUGGUCGUGUCUAUACUUCAUGGAUCAGGGUAUAAAUAUUGACCAAGGGACAAUGUAAAAAAUCAUCAAUCAAUAUCAAAUCAAUUUUUAAUCUUAUUUAUAUCUACUUACUUUUCGGCGACUUCGUCAAUUUGCAUAUUUUCUCUUUACGAGUUCUCAUCGAUUUGACGAGCUACAUCGCUUCAGUGCGACCUUCGACGAUCCUUGAGUUCCGUGUGAGUACCUCUUGGUUGUGGCUUUCGGGCGUAUCGUUGUUGUUAGGACCAAAGUACUCAAGUUAUCAUCCUUGUCGAUUAACGGGUCAAAUCGACUGGCACGCUUUGGAUAUCGGACUGGGUCUUAGCCCUUUGUGUUUGCAGAUCCACUUUUGCAUCAACAUGUGGUUAUGGGAUUUACUAUGCUACCUUCAAAUUUCCUAUCUAAAUAUGUACAUGCUCUACACCUACAAAAGCUAAUUGCAGUCAAACUAGUGUCAGCUAAUUGAGCCUCAUGAACCCCUGGUUUUACUUGUUGAGUACGACAUGUGCUCACCCUUGCUAUUUCCCACCACUCCAGUUUACUAGUAAGAGUUAUCAGAAGAGCGAUGGAGUUACGAAGGACGUUCAUAGGAUACAAGAAAUGCUAAGCAUAUGUUACCCCCAGUCAACCGUCCCUGUGAAGAUUGAGCCCGAAGAUUAGUUACCAUUCCGUGAUUCUCUGGUGUAAGUGUUAAUUAUAAGUAUGUUUCCGCUAUAUAACAUUCUUUCUGAUACUGUUUCUUUCUGUUGUUGUAUGUGUGGACUUCCUGGGCACACAUAUGGCUAGUCUGGUUUUGUUCUUUAAAAGCGGAUGUGACACUCUUUCCAGAUAAUAGAGAUGGCUUGACAUUGCUAAUAUCUAAGGAAGAAAAGAAGAGAAGGGAGGCCACACUAAAGAUACCUUUCUUAUACUGAUCUUUGUAGUGGCGUUAGCUCACCUGCGAUCUUUAUUUUGAACUAUGUACUUGAAUUAUGUGAAUUUUUUGUUUGAAUAUCCUUGUGAUGUAAAAUUGAUGCUCAUCUUUAAGCUAUUGGAUCAAAACAACAUUUUGCUAAGAUAAAGUAGAUUUAGUGUGUCUGGUGACAAAAUGUCAAUUUCUUGAUGCUCUUCAUGUUGAAAUUUCUUAAGCUCAAAUGGUAAAAUU